rnacentral:rRNA from 1 species
CUACGGGGGGCUGCAGUGAGGAAUAUUGCACAAUGGGGGGAACCCUGAUGCAGCAACGCCGCGUGGGGGAUGACGCAUUUCGGUGUGUAAACUCCUUUUAUAUGUCAAGAAAAUGACGGUAGCAUAUGAAUAAGCACCGGCUAACUCGCGGUGCCAGCAGCCGCGGUAGUACGGAGGGUGCAAGCGUUACUCGGAAUCACUGGGCGUAAAGGACGCGUAGGCGGGCUUGUAAGUCAGGUGUGAAAUCCUACAGCUUAACUGUAGAACUGCACUUGAAACUACGAGCCUAGAGUAUGGGAGGGGCAGAUGGAAUUAGUGGUGUAGGGGUAAAAUCCGUAGAUAUCACUAGGAGUACCUAAAGCGAAGGCGAUCUGCUGGAACAUAACUGACGCUAGGGCGUGAAAGCGUGGGGAGCAAACAGGAUUAGAUACCCGUGUAGUC